rnacentral:rRNA from 1 species
CUGGGAGGACCAUCUCCUAAGGCUAAAUACUCUCUAGUGACCGAUAGUGAACCAGUACCGUGAGGGAAAGGUGAAAAGCACCCCGGAAGGGGAGUGAAAUAGAACCUGAAACCGUGUGCUUACAAGUAGUCAGAGCCCGUUAAUGGGUGAUGGCGUGCCUUUUGUAGAAUGAACCGGCGAGUUACGAUUUGAUGCAAGGUUAAGCAGUAAAUGUGGAGCCGUAGCGAAAGCGAGUCUGAAUAGGGCGUUUAGUAUUUGGUCGUAGACCCGAAACCAGGUGAUCUACCCUUGGUCAGGUUGAAGUUCAGGUAACACUGAAUGGAGGACCGAACCGACUUACGUUGAAAAGUGAGCGGAUGAACUGAGGGUAGCGGAGAAAUUCCAAUCGAACCUGGAGAUAGCUGGUUCUCUCCGAAAUAGCUUUAGGGCUAGCCUCAAGUGAUGAUUAUUGGAGGUAGAGCACUGUUUGGACGAGGGGCCCCUCUCGGGUUACCGAAUUCAGACAAACUCCGAAUGCCAAUUAAUUUAACUUGGGAGUCAGAACAUGGGUGAUAAGGUCCGUGUUCGAAAGGGAAACAGCCCAGACCACCAGCUAAGGUCCCAAAAUAUAUGUUAAGUGGAAAAGGAUGUGGCGUUGCCCAGACAACUAGGAUGUUGGCUUAGAAGCAGCCAUCAUUUAAAGAGUGCGUAAUAGCUCACUAGUCGAGUGACACUGCGCCGAAAAUGUACCGGGGCUAAACAUAUUACCGAAGCUGUGGAUUGUCCUUUGGACAAUGGUAGGAGAGCGUUCUAAGGGCGUUGAAGCAUGAUCGUAAGGACAUGUGGAGCGCUUAGAAGUGAGAAUGCCGGUGUGAGUAGCGAAAGACGGGUGAGAAUCCCGUCCACCGAUUGACUAAGGUUUCCAGAGGAAGGCUCGUCCGCUCUGGGUUAGUCGGGUCCUAAGCUGAGGCCGACAGGCGUAGGCGAUGGAUAACAGGUUGAUAUUCCUGUACCACCUAUAAUCGUUUUAAUCGAUGGGGGGACGCAGUAGGAUAGGCGAAGCGUGCGAUUGGAUUGCACGUCUAAGCAG